UUCUGCUGGGUCUGGGAAUGCUGGAAUUCCCAAUACAGGCAGCAGCAAGGCCUGAGGACACCUCUGCUGGGUGCCAGGUGAGGCUCGGCCAAGGACAGCAGCCUGUGGCAGCAAUGAUAAACCUGAUAAACCUGAUAAACACAGGGGGAUUGUGGAGUGUGGGGAAGCCAAGGCAAUAAUAACCUCCCCUGUCUGUUUCACCAAGCAGAUUGAGGCCGACCCUCGGCCUUUUCCCCAUUUUUCUCAGGCUGCUGCAGAUCCCUGCCUGGAGAAAUGAUCUUUAAUCUGCUCCUGAAUGGGAUGAGGCAGCAGAAACCUGAGUGAGGUGAAUUAAUGGGCCCUGCUGCUGCUGUCUCCUGAAAACCCUCUGCCAAAGGAAACCAAUUUUUUUACUUAACAGUACAAAUGUUUUGAGAAUGCUGGGAGAAGUGGAUUAGAAGUGAGAAAUUCACCUAAAGCAGGAGAAAUUCAUCUGUGCAGGGAAAAGUCAUGAUUUGUCAAAAAUCUGCAUUCCCAGUCCCAGCAGAGCUGCCCCUGAGGGUCCCCCUGGGGUGCAGGCCCCCUGCUCUCCCCUGAUGGAGGAGCGUUUCGUGGGGCACAGACAGAAGGAUUCUUUCUAAGGAGAAGGAAGAAAUAACAAAUUCGAAAUGCCAGGCAUUCCUAAUGGGAGCUGACAGAGAGGAGAUGGAAGUGCCACCACCAGAGUGUCCCAGUGGGCCCUGCCCAGUGCCCCAGCAGCUGCUCAGCCAAGGCACACCAACACCACAGUUUGGGGGUAUUUUUCCAACUUCCCCCCAGCUUUAGAACCUGGGGUUUCUCCAAAGCCCACCCCAUCAGCCUCCCCUGGCUGCCACGAUCACACAUUUGCUGAGGGGUGACAGUGAGCUCCCUGUCAUGGAUCUCUCCUGACACGUCAAGAGCCCUGAGCGAAGUGAGUGAAUCUCAAAUUCAGCUGGAGACACAAACACAGUGCAAAAAUCCCCCCCAGCUGCAGCUCAGUUCAGCAGUUCCAGAGCAGAGGAUGUGAAAAAUUGAUGCUGGUGCACCAAGGCUCAGAGGAUGGGAAGGAAGGACAGAAAUGAUUUGAAUAUUUUGAAUUUGUUUCUCUCUGUCACCUUGUGCUGGGAUGUGGAUUUGCCUUUCCUUAUAUUUGCAUGUUGUAAUUAUUUUUAUGUCACCUUUUGCUCUCCAUUUAGCAACUAUUGUUUGAAACUAAGAUUAAUUCAUCUGAAAACCAUGACAUCAAAACUAAAGCCUGGAGUAUCUGCUCAGUUACUCCAGUGCUGAGAGCCCAUAAUUUUUUUCCUUGCCAUGCUACAAACAAGGUGAUCACUUCUGAAGUCCCCUCCAGCAAUUCACUUGGCAUUUGUGAGCUCCUGGCAGCCACCAAUAACAGAGAGAGAGGAGAAAAUACAGAUCAGCUGUCAGUGCUGAAAAAUAAACUUCAGCCAAGUGAUUUUAAUGGCUGAGUCAGUCUGCACCAAGGAGGGAGCACUGGCACCUCCACACUGGGAUAAAUGAGCAGCUUUUCCUGCAGGGGAGCUCAGGAGGCAUGGGGAAAGCAGGAGCAGAGCUGGCCCCAGCACAGGUGAUCCCACAGCACAGAGCAGGUGAAAUGUGGGAAGAGCUGGGAAAUGCCUCUUGGGACGAGCAGAGGUGGUGCAGAUUGGGAACUCAUUUAGGAGCUCCACGUGUUUGUUUGGAUCCCACUGGGAAUGCAGUGGGAUCCUCCCAGCACCAGCCUUUCCAUCCCAUCAUCUACACCAUGAAUUCAAGAGGCUCCUCAGAACACAGCAGAUGGAGCAGGUCCAGUGAAUUUUCCUUCCCUGUCCUGUCUGAACUGCACAAUUAUCAGAUUUUGCUGUGCUAUAUCACAAUAAAUAAAUGCCUUUGGAUUAUCUUUGAUCUUUUA